rnacentral:lncRNA from 1 species
AGAAGCCCUAAAAAAGAACAGGGGAGCCGGCUUCUUCGAGAUGGCUCCCCCCCCUCUCACCCGCCCUCACGUGCGCCGCACGUGAGGUCGAAAUCCUUGGGCUGGGCCGGUCAAUGGACCGGGCCCAGUUUCAGGGUCUCACAUCCUUCCUCCCUUAAAAGAAAUUUCGUCCACGAAAUUUUCAUACAUGCAGUUCAAGAGUAGAUUAUACUUCUUCCAAACUAAGUCAUAACACUCUUCAAAUCAAAGUCGUCUUGUCUGACCAAUUUCAAAUAAUUCUAUUCACCACAUUUUCUCUGCACAUUCUGAUUUAAACCUCAACAUACCCGUGUCAAGUCUAGAUUUUUUUUUCCUAGAAUUACUUGCUUGUUGGUACAUUCAUUACUAUGUCUUAA